UAAUCAUCAAUGACUUUAAACAUCUUAUUUUUAAAUAAUUGUAGAAGUUGUGGGAAAUAAUGCAGAGACAUCCCAUGUACCAUUAUCUAGUUCCCCUUGUGUUAAUAUAUUGCAAAACUGUAGUUCACACAACCAAGAUAUACUGACAUUGAUACUGUCAAGAUACAGAACAUUUCUUAUCACCGCAAACCUCAGAGGAUUUGGUCUAGAAUGGGGGUAAAGAAUUACAGGAAAUCACUGAGUUUUUGUAUGUUGCUGCUGUCUGUUAUUUGUCCCACAUAUUUAUCCAGAAGGAAGGGGUGAGGAUGGGGGUCCCAUAAAGAUGCAGAGUAAGUUGAAGAAGACAAUGCUUGUCCUGCCACCAGAUGUCUCUUGUUUUUAUUUUUGUUUUUGUUUUGUUAUGUGUAAAAACAAAUGAACCCUUGGGAUAUUAGGAUAUUUUGGAGCAAGGUGUUGUCACUGUUUCUCAGACUUGGG
rnacentral:lncRNA from 1 species